rnacentral:misc_RNA from 1 species
AAGUCGUAACAAGGUUUCCGUAGGUGAACCUGCGGAAGGAUCAUUAACACGUAUCCAACGUUAAACCCCCCCGUGAACGUACAAUCUGUUGCUUCUCCGGUAACGCGAAACAAUGGUUGCAAUCCCUGGUAAAUCAUCGCAGAACAGUUUUGAUUCAGGGACGUCUGCAAGGAGCGUGCAUGUUGUGCGUGUAAGUGGCCUGGCAUCCCCAAGCAGUUAGUGUCUGAAAGUGUCACUAACGUUAGUGUCUGAAAGUGUCACUAACAUGUGUAAGGAUGACGCAGUCACGAUCGUUGGAGGCCCACACGGCCGACGACCGGGUCACUGGGUGCAAGCCCCCUUAUCACACCCCUGCUCUAUCUAUGGUGAUCCUGCGGGAAGUCCUGCGGUCGAACGCCGAAACCGAACAACUGUUAACAAUGGAUAUCUUGGUUCUC